rnacentral:misc_RNA from 1 species
GAGACAUCAUCGUCAUUCAAUAACUCAAACCAGAGUCCUUCAUCAAGCUUUCCUGGAACAACUGCUAUAGCAUCGGCACCGAUGCAGACCUUGCCCAGCAGUGGUCUUUCAAGUCCUAAUCUGCCUCAGCAGCAAUCUCAAGUUCAACAGCAACUGCAUCAGCGCCCAAACACCAACAACUUACUCGUGCAACAUCAUCCUCAGAGUACGCAAGGUAACAGUAACACUAUGCAACAUCAGAUGAUCCAGCAACUACUCCAGAUAUCUAAUAACAGUGGGGGAGGACAACAGCAACCACUUUCUGGAUCAAACACAAAAGCAAGCAUUGCCGGAGCUUAUACGGGAUACGGAGGCAGCUCUUCUGUGGUGGCUGCAGGCACAGCCAAUGCAUCUGGUAGUAAUACGCCUGCUCCAAGCCGAAGCAACAGUUUCAAAAGUGCUUCAACUGGUGACGUAUCAGCAGCCGGUGCUCGUAGCAGUGGGUUCAACCAAAGAAGUGCAGAUUUGGC